ACAAGAGCUUGGUCUUUGUACCCAGGUUUCUCAGGAUAUCUAUGGCAAAUUGUGACAGAAUAUGAAUGAAUGAGAAGAGUAAUGAAUGUCAUUCAGCAAUGGGUGAAAUAUAACAGUUCUCUUAGGAACUCUCAUGUUACAGAGGAGCAGACUGCUACUUUAUAUAUUACUCACACACCUAUGAGGUACCCAUUCUUAUUAUCAUUUCAUAGAUAAAUGAACAGAAC
rnacentral:lncRNA from 1 species